rnacentral:lncRNA from 1 species
GGGGAAUUGAACUUAGGGGCACUUUAUUACUGAACUACAUCCCCAAGCAUUUUUAUUUUGAGACAGGGUCUUGCCAAGUUGCUCAGGUUGGUCUGAAAUUUGCCAUCCUCCUGCCUCCACUUCUUGAAUAGCUGGGAUUACAAAUGUGGACUACCAUGCUCAGCUGAAGGAAAAUGUUUUUAAUAAAUGUGCAAUCAAGUUUAAGAUAAUUAUUAUAUAAACAAAAUUGAUAACAAAAACAGGAGGCUUUUGCUGAGAAACUGAAAAAUGAUAUUGAUACACUUCAGGGCAAUGUGAAAAUAUUGAACCUGCUGAGUAGCUAGAGAAAAGCAAAAUAGUAAUGAUAUAUUUUUAGUCUAUUACAGGAUAAUGUUUAUAAUAUUAUUAAUAGUCUUAAAUCAGAAACAACCUAAAUAUCCAACAAUAUUGUAAUUUUUGAGUAAACUGCCCAAUAAAAUAUUAUUCAGUCCAUAAGAAAAUGUGUGCACACCAUAAAAAUCUUUGCAAAGUGUGUAAUAAUAUUUUUUAAAUUUUUUUUAGUUGUUGAUGGACCUUUAUUUAUUUAUUUGUAUGCGAUGCUGAGAAUCAAACCUAGUGCCUCACACAUGCUAGGCAAGCACUUUGCCACUGAGCCACAACCCUAGCUCAAAUUAUUUUCUUCAUUAUGACUGCAUUUUCCUUUCUUAAAAAAUAUUUUUUAGUAGUUUAUGGACCUUUAUUUUAUUCAUUCAUUUAUAUGCGGUGCUGAGAAUUGAACCCAGUGCCUCACACAUAUAAGGCAAGUGCUCUACCACUGAGCCACCAUCCCAGCCCUGUAAUAAUAUUUUUAAAAAAUAUAUUAACAGAUCUGCACAUUUUUGGUCACCUGAUUUAUGACAAAGGUGCCCACACAGUUUGGUAGUAUCUAUUAAAACCAGUCAUACCUUGGACUUAGCAAUUCUAUUCCUGGAUACAUAUUCAAUAGAAUAGAGGACUUAUAACCACCACAAAGAUGUUCAGAGCAACAUUAUUCAUAAUGGUCCCAACUGGAAGCAAUGUUUUUCAAUAAAAAUACAGAUAACUGCAUGGCAAUAUAUUUUCACAAUGGAACAUUAUGUGGCAAUAAAAAGAAACAAAUUGCUGAAACACUCAACAAAACAAAUUAAUCUUAAAAACAUGAGUUAAGGAAGUCAGAGUACAUAUUGUCCAAUUAUAUUUUUAAAAUAUUUAUUUUUUAGUUGUAGUUGGACACAAUACCUUUAUUUUAUUUAUUUUUAUAUGGUGCUGAGGAUCGAACCCAGGGCCUCGUAUGUGCUAAGCGAGCGCUCUACCCCAGCCCCAGCCCCUGUCCAAUUAUUUUUAUAGGAAGUUGAAGAAUGAGAAAAUUGAUCUAUAGAGAUGAUUAACAUUAGACUGUGGGGUUUUGGAGGAAUAUCAACUAGGAGAAGAACAGAGAUACUUCUGGAUGCUGAAGAUGUUUUUAAUAUUUUUCUGGUAGUUGUUACAUAGAUUUUCAUGGGUAAAAAUUCAUCAGCUACAUACUUCUGAUCAUUGCCCUUUACUAUCUGUAAGCUAUGAGUGGAAAAAAAAAAACAUCAACAAAGGAGAAGUAAAAUUACAACUAUGCUUAAAGGAUUUGGUUGGGGAGAGAGGAAUACAAAACAGCUAAAGAGUGGGAAAUUAAUACUUUAUCUUACAAAACAAAGUCAACAACCGGGCCUGAUGGCACAUACCUGUAAUCCCAGCAGCUCAGCAAUGGCAAGGCAUUAAGCAACUCAGUGAGACCCUAUCUCUAAAUAAAAUUAAAAAAGGGCUGGGGAUAUGGUUCAGUGGCCUAGUGCCCUAUGUUCAAUCUCUUGUACCAAAAUAAAUAAAUAAAUAAAAAGUCAACAAAUACCAUUCAUACUUGACAGAACAAGAAAUAAACUAUAGAUAUAUUAUAUGAAGCUAUCCAUAUCCAACUAAAAUUAUUGACAUUCUUAUGUGGAGAAAAUGGAAAAAGGUUGGUGCUAAGUGAAAUGAAUCCUCAUGGAGGCAGCCACUGAUGUUGUUCAAAAUUAAAACCCCAGGAAAGGAUGGUAUACAAAUAUUGGUGAUUUGAAGGAAAUGUUAGGUAGGAGUUCAGGGACACUAAGAUGGCGGAGAGAGGGUAUUAGAAAGAAAUCACUACAGGACAAGAAAAGUUCUGGCCCUGUUUACCAUAAAUCCCCUCUGAGGUCUAAUCACCAUGACAGCUCCUGACACAGGUUUAAAUUUUAAAAUGACCAAUGGGGGUAAAGAGGGCAGUAUUCUAAUUAAGUUUUCUAAUGUAACAAAUGGAGGGGGUGGAUUGGAAAAUAUUCUAAUCAGGUAUCAUGAGAUAACCAAUGGGAGCCAAUGGGGUAAGGUCUUCAAUCAGGUCUGUACAGGGAAGAGAAAACCCCACAGUUCAGGAUAUAAGACCCUAAUUUCCAGAUACUGGGGCCUUGACAUCUGUCUGUUUCUCUGUCUGUCUGUCUCUAUCUACUCCACUCUUCCUAACAGAGUAUUAUGUCCACCUCCAAUAAAUCUAUAUCUGUUACUUUUGUGUAUCUUGCUUAAUUCUUUGUUCCGGCCACCAAGGAACUGAAUUUCGACUGGACAUCCCAAUGGUAACAGGAGCAGAGGACUCAUCAGCUAAAAGUUAGAAGCAGUUGUCUUUGAGGAAAAAAAAAUGAG